UCAAUAAGCGGAGGAAAAGAAACCAACAGGGAUUGCCUCAGUAACGGCGAGUGAAGCGGCAAAAGCUCAAAUUUGAAAUCCCCCCGGGGAGUUGUAAUUUGAAGAUUGCGUCUUGGAGGCGACCGUGUCUAUGUUCCUUGGAACAGGACGUCACAGAGGGUGAGAAUCCCGUGCGGCACGGCCCCCGGCUCCUUAUAAGGCGCUCUCGACGAGUCGAGUUGUUUGGGAAUGCAGCUCAAAGUGGGUGGUAAAUUCCAUCUAAAGCUAAAUACAGGCGAGAGACCGAUAGCGAACAAGUACAGUGAUGGAAAGAUGAAAAGCACUUUGAAAAGAGAGUGAAACAGCACGUGAAAUUGUUGAAAGGGAAGGGCAUGCCGUCAGAUUGUCAGUGUGGGUAAGAAGCGGGGUACAAAGACUGUGGAACGUGGCCCUCGGGUGUUAUAGCCGCAGUUCAUGCCCCGUCUCUUUCCGAGGCCUGCUUUGAGGACACCGACGUAAUGACGGUACGCC
rnacentral:rRNA from 1 species